UACGUAGGGUGCGAGCGUUAAUCGGAAUUACUGGGCGUAAAGCGUGCGCAGGCGGUUUUGUAAGCCAGAGGUGAAAGCCCCGGGCUUAACCUGGGAAUGGCAUUUGGGACUGCAAGGCUGGAGUGUGGCAGAGGAGACUGGAAUUCCUGGUGUAGCAGUGAAAUGCGUAGAUAUCAGGAGGAACACCUAUGGCGAAGGCAGCUCGCUGGGACGUUACUGACGCUGAGACGCGAAAGCGCGGGGAGCAAACAGG
rnacentral:rRNA from 1 species